GCAGGGAGAGGAAAGUCCGACUGGCAUUUGAAGGCAGGUGAUGGAGCAGGAUGAGCAGCAGGUGCGCUGAUUGGAGUUGGUACCAGGUGUGGGGAGAAUCAACAGGGGGGGGCGUGUCCUCACUCUGUGGAAAAUGUAGGCGGGAACAGAAACACACACA